GACAGAGGGUGCAAACGUUGUUCGGAGUUAUUGGGCGUAAAGCGCGCGCAGGCGGCCUCGCGCGCCCGACGUGAAAGCCCCCGGCUUAACCGGGGAGGGUCGUUGGGGACGGCGGGGCUUGAGGGCGGGAGAGGGCGGUGGAAUUCCCGGUGUAGUGGUGAAAUGCGUAGAGAUCGGGAGGAACACCUGUGGCGAAGGCGGCCGUCUGGGCCGAUACUGACGCUGAGGCACGAAAGCGUGGGGAGCAAACAGG
rnacentral:rRNA from 1 species